rnacentral:tRNA from 3 species
GGAGAGGUGCCGGAGUGGUCGAACGGGCCGGUCUCGAAAACCGGUGUGGCUGUAUGGUCACCGUGGGUUCGAAUCCCACCCUCUCCGCCA